rnacentral:rRNA from 1 species
UACGUAGGGGGCAAGCGUUGUCCGGAAUCAUUGGGCGUAAAGCGCGCGUAGGCGGCCCGGUAAGUCCGCUGUAAAAGUCCAGGGCUCAACCCUGGAAAGCCGGUGGAUACUGUCGGGCUAGAGUCCGGAAGAGGCGAGUGGAAUUCCUGGUGUAGCGGUGGAAUGCGCAGAGUAUCAGGAGGAACACCGAUGGCGAAGGCAGCUCGCUGGGUGUGUUCUGACGCUGAGGCACGAAAGCCAGGGGAGCGAACGGGG